UUUUAAAGAGAGUUUGAUCCUGGCUCAGGACGAACGCUGGCGGCGUGCCUAAUACAUGCAAGUCGAACGAACG
rnacentral:rRNA from 1 species